rnacentral:rRNA from 1 species
UAGGGAAUCUUCCGCAAUGGACGAAAGUCUGACGGAGCAACGCCGCGUGAGUGAUGAAGGUUUUCGGAUCGUAAAGCUCUGUUGUUAGGGAAGAACAAGUGCCGUUCGAAUAGGUCGGCACCUUGACGGUACCUAACCAGAAAGCCACGGCUAACUACGUGCCAGCAGCCGCGGUAAUACGUAGGUGGCAAGCGUUGUCCGGAUUUAUUGGGCGUAAAGCGCGCGCAGGCGGUCUUUUAAGUCUGAUGUGAAAUCUCGCGGCUCAACCGUGAGCGGUCAUUGGAAACUGGAAGACUUGAGUACAGAAGAGGAGAGUGGAAUUCCACGUGUAGCGGUGAAAUGCGUAGAUAUGUGGAGGAACACCAGUGGCGAAGGCGACUCUCUGGUCUGUAACUGACGCUGAGGCGCGAAAGCGUGGGGAGCGAACAG